GACGAACGCUGGCGGCGCGCCUAACACAUGCAAGUCGAACGAGAGAUGAGGAGCUUGCUCUUCAAAUCGAGUGGCGAACGGGUGAGUAACGCGUGAGGAACCUGCCUCAAAAAGGGGGACAACAGUUGGAAACGACUGCUAAUACCGCAUAAGCUCACGGCUCGGCAUCGAGCAGAGGGAAAAGGAGCAAUCCGCUUUGAGAUGGCCUCGCGUCCGAUUAGCUAGUUGGUGAGGUAACGGCCCACCAAGGCGACGAUCGGUAGCCGGACUGAGAGGUUGAACGGCCACAUUGGGACUGAGACACGGCCCAGACUCCUACGGGAGGCAGCAGUGGGGAAUAUUGCACAAUGGGGGAAACCCUGAUGCAGCGACGCCGCGUGGAGGAAGAAGGUCUUCGGAUUGUAAACUCCUGUUGUUGAGGAAGAUAAUGACGGUACUCAACAAGGAAGUGACGGCUAACUACGUGCCAGCAGCCGCGGUAAAACGUAGGUCACAAGCGUUGUCCGGAAUUACUGGGUGUAAAGGGAGCGCAGGCGGGAGAACAAGUUGGAAGUGAAAUCCAUGGGCUCAACCCAUGAACUGCUUUCAAAACUGUUUUUCUUGAGUAGUGCAGAGGUAGGCGGAAUUCCCGGUGUAGCGGUGGAAUGCGUAGAUAUCGGGAGGAACACCAGUGGCGAAGGCGGCCUACUGGGCACCAACUAACGCUGAGGCUCGAAAGUGUGGGUAGCAAACAGGAUUAGAUACCCUGGUAGUCCACACCGUAAACGAUGAUUACUAGGUGUUGGAGGAUUGACCCCUUCAGUGCCGCAGUUAACACAAUAAGUAAUCCACCUGGGGAGUACGACCGCAAGGUUGAAACUCAAAGGAAUUGACGGGGGCCCGCACAAGCAGUGGAGUAUGUGGUUUAAUUCGACGCAACGCGAAGAACCUUACCAAGUCUUGACAUCCCUUGACGAUGCUGGAAACAGUAUUUCUCUUCGGAGCAAGGAGACAGGUGGUGCAUGGUUGUCGUCAGCUCGUGUCGUGAGAUGUUGGGUUAAGUCCCGCAACGAGCGCAACCCUUAUGGUCAGUUACUACGCAAGAGGACUCUGGCCAGACUGCCGUUGACAAAACGGAGGAAGGUGGGGAUGACGUCAAAUCAUCAUGCCCUUUAUGACUUGGGCUACACACGUACUACAAUGGCGUUAAACAAAGAGAAGCAAGACCGCGAGGUGGAGCAAAACUCAGAAACAACGUCCCAGUUCGGACUGCAGGCUGCAACUCGCCUGCACGAAGUCGGAAUUGCUAGUAAUCGUGGAUCAGCAUGCCACGGUGAAUACGUUCCCGGGCCUU
rnacentral:rRNA from 1 species